ACAUCCUCGCUGCCUCCCUGCCAAAAAUCCCCAAAUCCUCCUCUUCUCGCCGCCGCCGCCGCGCUGUCUUCCUCCCGCCACGCCGCAGCGCCGCCUUCCUCCCGCGACGCCCGGCCGGCGCCGUCUUCGUCCCGCGGCACCCGGUCGGCGCCGCGGCGCCCGGACGGCGCCGUCUUCGUCCCGCGGCUCCCGGCCGUCGCCGCCGCGCCCUCGGUGACUGUGGCGGCUACGAAGCACGGCGCCACCACCACUAUCCCGAUCUGCCUCUCUGUCCCCUUACCCAAGUUCUCAAGUUCAAGGCUUGUAGGUUCCAGCUGCAUGGCAAUUGCUCUUUGGUGUUCCUCUACCUGUUAUUUCCUGGUAUUAUUUCAGUUAUUUUAGUAGUUCCUUGGGAAUUCUUAUUUGUUGUCUAAUCUUUAUCUCCGUAUACAUGAUCAUCAUUUAAUUGUACUGGUAAACAUCAUUCCCUACUCUAUUUUUUAUUGCACCAAGUAGUAUGCAUAAACUGUUAUUCAGUUAAACUAUAGCAUAUAUUUUUGUAUGUGUCUAUGUAUAUAUAUAUAUUUGGCAGUUUCUCACUAGCCAUUUUCGUUCUCUGGGAUUGCAAAGAGCACAAUAAGAGGCAAGCAUUGGACCUUAACUAACAGGAUAACCAAAUAUUGUGAUAGCAUUUUAAUGGUUUGUUCCAUAUUUUGUAAAUCAUGGAUUUAUGGUUUGAUACACGUUUUCAUUGAUUCUUCUACGACCACCAGCCAGGUAAUUUCAAGCUAUUAUAUAUAUACUGAUGCUACAUAUUACUCAACAUGAUUUACAAAAUUAGAAACUGUUUCAUUCCGUUGAAAAUAUAUUUUUAACAGUUACGUGGGAUAUGCAUGGUGUUCAUUAUUUUAUAUAUCAUGUACUAAGAACAUAUUGAUGCUCUUCAUCAAGGUUAAAAGGUGGAUCUACUUCCCUUUUUCUUUUAUUGGUGGCUAAAGUAGAUUGAUGCUAAUUAUUGACAAGCUGGCAAGAAUAUUGAACUCUCAUAUCUGCAGAACUGGCUACAAAUUCAUAGGUUCUGGAUCAUGGAGAAGUAAACCUUGAUUUCUAUUUGUUUUUUUUUCAUGGCCGUCUUAGUAUAGAUUGUAAAAUAUGUACAAUAUAAGUUGCAAUUACUACCUGUGAUGUGCUGACACAGUUUUGAUUGACUAUCCUUCCAAUUAAUCAUCGCCCCAUUGGUCUUCCUGGGUACAGCUAGGUAUUGAAAUACAAAUGUUGUUUAUUUUACUCACGUUGUAAUUGUACUAUGCACCGAGAUACCCAUUGUUAG
rnacentral:lncRNA from 1 species